AUCCAGGCUCCUACGGGAGGCAGCAGUGGGGAAUAUUGCACAAUGGGGGGAACCCUGAUGCAGCAAUGCCGCGUGAAGGAUGAAGGUUUUCGGAUUGUAAACUUCUUUUGUACGGGACGAAGAAAGUGACGGUACCGUAAGAAUAAGCCACGGCUAACUACGUGCCAGCAGCCGCGGUAAUACGUAGGGGGCGAGCGUUAUCCGGAUUCACUGGGUGUAAAGGGAGCGUAGACGGCCAAGCAAGCCAGGGGUGAAAGCCCGGGGCCCAACCCCGGGACUGCCCUUGGAACUGCUUGGCUGGAGUGCGGGAGGGGCAGGCGGAAUUCCUAGUGUAGCGGUGAAAUGCGUAGAUAUUAGGAGGAACACCAGUGGCGAAGGCGGCUUACUGGACUGUAACUGACGUUGAGGCUCGAAAGCGUGGGGAGCAAACAGGAUUAGAUACCCCAGUACC
rnacentral:rRNA from 1 species